rnacentral:rRNA from 1 species
UACGUAGGGUGCGAGCGUUGUCCGGAAUUACUGGGCGUAAAGAGCUCGUAGGCGGUUUGUCGCGUUGUUCGUGAAAACUCACAGCUUAACUGUGGGCGUGCGGGCGAUACGGGCAGACUGGAGUACUGCAGGGGAGACUGGAAUUCCUGGUGUAGCGGUGGAAUGCGCAGAUAUUAGGAGGAACACCGAUGGCGAAGGCGGGUCUCUGGGCAGUAACUGACGCUGAGGAGCGAAAGCGUGGGGAUCAAACAGG